rnacentral:misc_RNA from 1 species
UUUCCGUAGGUGAACCUACGGAAGGAUCAUUAUUGGAUUUUGAAACUUCAGGCUGCUGCUGGCUCUCCUCGGAGGGCAUGUGCACGCUUGUUGUCCAUUAUUUCUCCCACUGUGCACAAAUUGUAGACCUUUCAGUAGGCCUAUGUUGUUUUUCACAAUCUCUGAAUGUAAUAGAAUGGUUUUGAAUCUUGGGAAAUACAAUACAACUUUCAGCAACGGAUCUCUUGGCUCUC